AGGUUUGUAGUUUAAUGGAAAAACAUGUGCUUGAUAAGUGCAAAAUUGACAGUUCGAUACUGUUCAAGCCUA
rnacentral:tRNA from 1 species